UAUGGCCAUAUCACAUUGAAACACCAGUUCUCGUACGAUCACCGAAGUUAAGCAACGUCGAGCUAGACCAGUACUUAGAUGAGUGACCGCUUGGGAAUACCAGGUGCUGUAA